GACGAACGCUGGCGGCGUGCUUAACACAUGCAAGUCGAACGGAAAGGCCCUGCUUUUGUGGGGUGCUCGAGUGGCGAACGGGUGAGUAACACGUGAGUAACCUGCCCUUGACUUUGGGAUAACUUCAGGAAACUGGGGCUAAUACCGGAUAGGAGCUCCUGCUGCAUGGUGGGGGUUGGAAAGUUUCGGCGGUUGGGGAUGGACUCGCGGCUUAUCAGCUUGUUGGUGGGGUAGUGGCUUACCAAGGCUUUGACGGGUAGCCGGCCUGAGAGGGUGACCGGCCAAAUUGGGACUGAGAUACGGACCAGACUCCUACGGGAGGCAGCAGUGGGGAAUAUUGCACAAUGGGCGGAAGCAUGAUGCAGAAACGCCGCGUGCGGGAUGACGGCCUUCGGGUUGUAAACCGCUUUCGCCUGUGACGAAGCGUGAGUGACGGUAAUGGGUAAAGAAGCACCGGCUAACUACGUG
rnacentral:rRNA from 1 species